GUAUGCAGAAUGUAAUGUUUGGAACCUGGAUUGGUGUCACUAUUUUCUUCAGCUAUGCGCUCAAUUUUGCCUGAAUUCAAUUGCUCUUUCAAAACAGCGCUAUAUUGAGCCAAAAGUUCAGGUUUGGAUUUCAAACGAUUGAGUUGCGAAUUUGAUCGAAAUUUUGCAACAUUAAAGUUGUCUUGAAUUGCUGGAUGUGACUUUUUAACUGGUAACGAAAGUUCAUAUCAUUUACCAUCAAAUGUUUUUUUUAUCAUUCAGAAGAGCCUCAGUUUGAAAUAGAGGUUCCUUUGAUUUGACAGCUAAGUUUUGGCGAUUCCCAAAAUUCCUAAUUAAUUGCACAUCUUACCGCUAUUUGAACAGCAUCGCAUGUUUUUAGUGUGCCCUUGUUGUUACCAAAUUCUUUGAUUAAUGUUUUGCUUGUUUUAACAGUUGGAAGUUGAAGUGCCACAUUUGAUUAAUCUGGAAGGAAGCCACAUGAGGCAUAUGUUUUUUAUAUUUUUAUGUUCUUUUUUGGUUCAUUGCACUGGUUGGUAAUGGCUGUCGUAAGUUCACAGAAGCCCAAGUGGUGUUGCUAGAGCAAGAUUAUAAUGAAGGAUUUAAGUCUGUUUAGAAGAAAAAGUUUGGGGAUCGAAUCCAACGCAUUGCAAAGAGAUCGGGUUUGGAAGAAGCAGUCGUGAAGACUUGGAUAAACAAUAGAAAGAGAGGAACGCCUCCUACUUGUUUCCUCUCAGCUAGCCAAAAUAAUUGCAGAAGCGAUGUAAAAAAGGUUUUGAGGGCACCACCCGUUUGCCGACAGCCAUUUGGCCUCAAUCUUUUUGCUGGAGAAUUGUUCUCUAAAGGUAAGUAGGUGUUGAUCUAGUAGCAGUUGAUUCUUUGUUGUUUUAGGCUCUUCGGGCUAGGCCUACAUAUAAAAAUUUGCUUUGUCUUUUGUUCCGUCAAACUUUCGUUCAGCUGAAAUUAGGACCCUUUCUGACAGAAUCUGAUUUAAAGCAUUUUAGCAUAUAAAGCCUGGUUUUGGCAUAAACAUCUGUUUGGGUUUGUAACCCCGGUUUGUCAAGCAUUCCAGUAGUUGUCUUGUGCGAUAUUUGAACGUUUCAUCUUCAGAGCAGAUGCGUCACAUGCCCUUACAUCACCCACCACCCUUCCCUACCCCACUUCCAACUUCCCAUUUUCUCUCCACUGCGCUGCAUUCACCCCAUUCAACAUCCACCAAUCCAGCAUUACUAUCUCACAUUUCAAAUUCAUUCACUCGUUUGUUUUAUUUACUCUGAUAAAGCUUUGUAUGCCAGGACCAUAAAUUUUUGUUCUAAAUAAUAUAUCCCUAAGAUAUGAAGAGUAGCUGAUCUUACUUUUAGAGUUGAAAGGCACGUCAAAUUCUGAAAAGAAUGUUGAUGUAAGCAAAAGGUGGAAGAACUAGGUGAAGCUGAGAAGAAAAGCAUGGAAAGAAAAAGCAAAGCAACUUGAUAGGCCAGCAUUAGAAGAUUUGACUGCUAAAGAUAGAAAACUAAUUGAUGCUACCCUCAACAGAAUAGACCAGGAGGACACAAUCACACUUUUGCAGUGCACCAAAAAACUUGGCUGCCUCUGCAUAGUAUUCUUCCUACGGCUGCUGAAGUUCCCCAAUUAUAAGGUGGAUUACAUUCCAGAUGGAAAGAAACCUGAAAGACAAAUGCGACUUAUGGCAUCAAAGUUGAAAAGUGACCUUCAGGCUGGAAGAAAAAUCAACUUCAUUGAAGUGUAUUUGAUGCUGUUGCCUCUAGAAAACAGCCAUUGUUUCCAUACUCUUCGCUCUGAGGUGCGUCAUCAAGUAUUUUCUCUAUGAAUUAGGGAUGUCGCAGGCGGGUGUACACCAGAGGUACCUGGCGUCCAGUUUUGAACAAAAUAUAUCCUUUUGAAGAAGUGAACUUUGAGGACAUUGGAAAAGUGGCACUUCUUUAGAAACAGUUUGCCCUUUCUUUCUACGCCCCUGAAACGCUGAAAAUGUUUGCUAACCUUUAACUUUGAAAUUGUUGACAGUUUGCUUAUAGACUCUUAAAUAUGACUCUGUUAAAUUGAAAAAUUUAACAAUAUAUAUGAAAAAUGUGGUGUUUUGCUUACAUAAUUGAGCAUCCAUUGUCAUCAGGGGCUAAACUUCACUAU